UCCACUUCUCGGAUCUCUGAGCUAAGAUCAUUGUAGUAUCUGUUCUUCACAGUGUAAAUUCUACAACGGUCUCUAAAUUGAGACCAACGAAAUUACCUGUAUUUUUCCCUACCUGACGGGUGCUAUGAGCUCGCUCAACCCCGUCCACGGGUUGGCCUCGUAUUGCAGUACCUCGAGGAUUUGUCCAUAAUUA
rnacentral:snRNA from 1 species